UACGUAGGGUGCAAGCGUUGUCCGGAUUCAUUGGGCGUAAAGAGCUCGUAGGCGGCUUUGUAAGUCGGGCGUGAAAACCCCAGGCUCAACCUGGGGACGCCACUCGAUACUGCAAUAGCUAGAGUCUGGUAGGGGAUCACGGAAUUCCUGGUGUAGCGGUGAAAUGCGCAGAUAUCAGGAGGAACACCGGUGGCGAAGGCGGUGAUCUGGGCCAGUACUGACGCUGAGGAGCGAAAGCGUGGGGAGCAAACAGG
rnacentral:rRNA from 1 species